rnacentral:snRNA from 1 species
AGAUGUGAGGGUGAUCUGGCUGCAACAUUUGUCACCCCAUUGAUCAUCAGGGUUGAUUCGAUUGAUCUGGCUGGCAAGGUGGGUGUCCCCUUCCUCCCUCACCACUCCAUGUGCGUCCCUCCAGAAGCUGCACGCUAGGUCGAAGAGGACGGCUUCCCCAAAUAGAGACAGACCGGUCUUCGGUUGAGGUAUACCAGUAGCUGAUCUCCCCUGCUAGAACCUCCAAACAAGCUCUAAUUCUUAAGAUUAAAAAAAAAAUUUUUUUUUUUAAUCAUUG